UACGUAGGGUGCAAGCGUUGUCCGGAAUUAUUGGGCGUAAAGAGCUCGUAGGCGGUCUGUCGCGUCGGCUGUGAAAUCCCGAGGCUCAACCUCGGGUCUGCAGUCGAUACGGGCAAACUGGAGUACUGCAGGGGAGACUGGAAUUCCUGGUGUAGCGGUGAAAUGCGCAGAUAUCAGGAGGAACACCGGCGGCGAAGGCGGGUCUCUGGGCAGUAACUGACGCUGAGGAGCGAAAGCGUGGGGAGCGAACAGG
rnacentral:rRNA from 1 species